GACAGAGGUGCCAAGCGUUAGGCGGAAUCACUGGGCUUAAAGCGCGUGUAGGUGGCGGCCUAAGUACCUUGUGAAAUCCUGCGGCUCAACCGCAGAUCUGCUUGGUAUACUGGGUCGCUUGAGCCAUCCAGGGGCAACUGGAACAAGCGGUGGAGCGGUCAAAUGCGUAGAUAUCGCUUGCAACGCCAAAGGUGAAAACAGGUUGCUGGGGAUGAGCUGACACUGAGACGCGAAAGCCAGGGGAGCGAACGGG
rnacentral:rRNA from 1 species